rnacentral:rRNA from 1 species
GUGUUAAGUGGAAAAGGAUGUGGGAUUUCGAAGACAACUAGGAUGUUGGCUCAGAAGCAGCCAUACAUUCAAAGAGUGCGUAAUAGCUCACUAGUCGAGAGGUCCUGCGCCGAAAAUGUCCGGGGCUGAAACACGACACCGAAGCUUAGGAACAAAGAAACCAAGGUUUCUAUAUGUUGGUAGAGGAGCAUUGUUAGCGGAACGAAGCCAUACCGGAAGGAGUGGUGGACUGCUAAGAAGAGAGAAUGCCGGAAUGAGUAGCGAGAUUGAAGUGAGAAUCUUCAAGGCCGAAUAUCUAAGGUUUCCAGGGUAAAGCUGAUCUGCCCUGGGUAAGUCGGGGCCUAAGGCGAGGUCGAAAGACGUAGCCGAUGGACAACAGGUUGAAAUUCCUGUACUGCGAUAUAUCAGAAAUGUGGGGACACAGAAGGAAAGUGUGAGCCGGGAAAGGAAAGACCGGUGCAAGCACAGGAGGAGAGAUACAGGCAAAUCCGUAUUUCAAUCCAAUGGUGUUACGCGGAGCGAACAAAAGUAGCGAAGCACACAGACCAUCUGUCGAGAAAAGCCGCUAUUGUGUAUAUUGUACCCGUACCGUAAACCGACACAGGUGGAUGAGGAGAGAAUCCUAAGGCCGGCGGGAGAAGCAUUGUUAAGGAACUCGGCAAAAUGACCCCGUAACUUCGGGAGAAGGGGUGCUCUUGAAAAAGAGCCGCAGAGAAUUGGCCCAAGCAACUGUUUAGCAAAAACACAGGUCUAUGCAAAACCGAAAGGUGAGGUAUAUGGGCUGACGCCUGCCCGGUGCUGGAAGGUUAAGAGGAGAGGUUAGCGCAAGCGAAGCUUUGAAUUUAAGCCCCAGUAAACGGCGGCCGUAACUAUAACGGUCCUAAGGUAGCGAAAUUCCUUGUCGGGUAAGUUCCGACCCGCACGAAAGGCGUAAUGAUUUGGGCACUGUCUCGACAAUGCACCCGGUGAAAUUGAAAUACCAGUGAAGAUGCUGGUUACCUGCGCCAGGACGGAAAGACCCCAUGGAGCUUUACUCUAGCUUGAUACUGGGAUUCGGUACUGCAUGUACAGGAUAGGUGGGAGACGAAGAGGACAGGACGCCAGUCUUGUCGGAGUCGCUGUUGGGAUACCACCCUUGUGGUACUGGAUUUCUAACCAACCUCCGUGACCCGGAGGUGGGACAAUGUCAGGUGGGGAGUUUGACUGGGGCGGUCGCCUCCGAAAGGGUAUCGGAGGCGCUCAAAGGU